GCCAUUGAUAAAAAGAAGCAUUGUCAGCCCUUCCUCUCCCCACUUACAUUCAGGAAGAGGCAGUCGCUUUCCACUGCUGCCUCCUCCUGUUAAUGCGGAUGUCACUGUUGCCAGACAGAAUGAUUCCUCGGGCUCCUGAUCUUCCUGCUUCUAUUUCCCCAGAGCUGGGAUGACAGACAGCUGGACCAUGCCUGACAUGGGCUACGACCUAUUGAACCCUGAAUACAUAGCAAAUCUUGAGAAGAUGAGGUGAGUACUUCCAACCAUCGGAGAGGGCUCUUGUCUGCCAGAAUUGGCUUCAGGUGGGAUGCAGACGGCGACUAGACACAGAAGGGAGGCGAUGUGUCUACAAGGAGAGACCGGAGUGACGGAGCCGGGAGUGACAGGGUGUGGACGGCCACUCCGAGGCUGAAGAGCAAGGGUAUGCUAGAGCCUCCGUCUCACCCUUGUCAGUAUCUUGGUCUUGACCCAGAGAGAUGGCUCCUGACUUACUGGCCCCCAGGACUGAGAGAACACGUUUCUGUUGGUUGAACUUCAAGCUCUGAAGGAGUUUAGUACACUACAGAGCAAGUAAAAUGUUUCCCUGGCUCCCCUGUUGCACGAGCUUCUCUGUGGCACGCCGGAGGACACCGGAGCUGGGUUUGUCAGAGUGAGCAAGCAGAAAGAGCAGACAAGGGAGAGCUUGGUGAGCAAGGUCUUGGCCACAGUGUUAGAACUUGAUGUAACCCUUCACUUUUGUUGUGUUCUGUGAGCUAGAAGCAGGCCAGUGGCUUCAGCCAUUGGCACAAUGGAGGGGAUUCCACAAGGUCACUGCUAUAGCAUGUAUCUUAAGUAUUUCCCAAAGGUCCAUGGGCAAAAGCUUGCUUGUGUAAGCCGGUAUGAUGGCACACACACCUUUAAUCCCAACACUUGGGAGGCAGAAGCAGGCGGAUCUCUGUGAGUUCGAGGCCAGCCUGGGUUACAGAGAGAGUUCCAGGACAGCCAGGGCCAUUACACAGAGAAAUCUUGUCUUGGAAAAAAAAAAAAAUGCUUGCUUGAGACACAAUUAGGAAGUGGUAGAGAGCUGAGAUACUAGAGCCUACUGGGAGGACUUUGGGUCUCUCAGGGCACAACUGUGAAGGAGACUGAGGCACCCCAACCUUUGCUUGCUUUCCCUUUUGUCUCUUGGCCAUGAGGUGAGCAAUUUUGCUCCUCCAUCCAUUUCUGCCGUGAUGUACCAUCACAGGCCCAAAACAAUCCGGAAGCUUAAAAAACAGUGAGUCAUUUAAACCUUUCCUGUUUAUGGGUUGGUUUCUCAAGGUUUAAAAAUUUGUUAUUUUGUGUAUGUGGGGUGGUGUGUGUGUGUGUGUGUGUGUGUGUGUGUGUGUGUGUGUGUGUGUGUGAUGGUGAGCAUGUGGAGGUCAGAGGACUAUUUUAUGUAGCCACUUUUCUCUUUCUACCUUCAUGUGGGUUCUGGGGAGCGGACUUAGACCGUGAGGCUUAUGCAGUGAGUACUUCACCCACUGAGCCAUCCUGCCAGCUGUCAGGUCUUUGUUAUAGUAACAGAAAGUUGAAUAACACAGGCAAAAAUUACGUGGAGGCAUGGGUCAUUGAAGGGUAGGUUUUUUAGAAACCAACUGCACGGCCUUCUACAGUAUUUAUUGUGAGAGAAGAGAGAACCAGAAAACAUCUUAAAUUCUAGAAAGGCCCCUGGCUGAGGUCUGCCUCUGGCUUGUUCUAUGGACAGAAAAGACUGUACAGGAGGAUUUUGGCUAGAGAUGAUCUUAUUUCCUAUGAGGCCUGUCCUGAUUCACUCCAUUUUACUGGA